rnacentral:lncRNA from 1 species
CCAAAUGUUCACACUUAGUCUUGUGUUUUUAGGGAUGUAAUAGCCAUUUACUUCACAUGCUUCUGAUGAUACUCUUGGUAAGUUUAGUGGCGUUGAUGGGUGUUUUCUGAAUGUCUCUUUGCAUAUUGCUUGUAAGUAAGGUAGAUUCUGAAUGUCUGAGUCUUGUAACCGUCGCUGUUUACCUAUCACUCUGUCCAUUUCUUCAUGAGCUCUUUUCAUAAUGUUUGGAUUCUUUAACAU